GACGAACGCUGGCGGCGUGCUUAACACAUGCAAGUCGAACGAAGUGGCGAACGUGUGAGUAACGCGUAAUCCACCUGCCCUUCAGAGGGGGACAACAGUGAGAAACGACUGCUAAUACCGCAUACUGAAGGAGGGGAUGGCGUGUGAUUAGCUAGUUGGUGGGGUAACGGCCCACCAAGGCGAGGAUCAGUAGCCGGUCUGAGAGGAUGAUCGGUCAAACUGGGACUGAGACACGGUCCAGACUCCGACGGGAGGCAGCAGUGGGGAAUAUUGGGCAAUGGGCGAAAGCCUGAUCGAGCCACGCCGCGUGUGUGAAGAAGGUCUUCGGAUUGUAAAGCACUUUAAGUUGGGAGGCGUUACCAACAGAAUAAGCACCGGCUAACUUCGUGCCAGCAGCCGCGGUAAUAC
rnacentral:rRNA from 1 species